UGCCUGAUUUGCUGGUAUCAAUUGGUGUACAGGGAUGUUGUUGUAGUGGUGGUUAGGACUAGUAACAGGGAUGUUGUAGUGUUUGUAGAGGUUAGGACUAGUAACAGGGAUGUUGUAGUGUUGGUAGAGGUUCGGACUAGUAACAGGGAGGUUGUCGUGGUGGUAGAGGUUAGGACUAGUAACAGGGAGGUUGUAGUGGAGGUUAGGACUAGUAACAGGGAUGUUGUAGUGUUUGUAGAGGUUAGGACUAGUAACAGGGAUGUUGUAGUGUUUGUGGAGGUUAGGACUAGUAACAGGGAUGUUGUAGUGUUGGUGGAGGUUUGGAGGAGUAACAGGGAUGUUGUAGUGUU
ensembl:lncRNA